rnacentral:lncRNA from 10 species
CACGCCCUCCCAUCUCUCCCUCCUUCCUGCCGUCCCCCGCCUGAGGGAGGGGAGCGGUGCAGCAGACAUCCGAGGGCAGCUGGGACCCCCUGACUCAGCCGACGGGUGAGUCAGGCUCCCUGCAGGCCACACCGGACCCCCCCAGGGCGGGGAUUUCCCCAAGAUGAGAAAUCAGCCACCGGAAGUCACGCCGGACCUUGGACGGGCAGACAGAGGCUGGGAGGAGUUCUGGGUGCAGAGCCCCCCAACCUGUGCUCUCAUCUCUUGCUCUGGGGUAAGCCAGUGGCCAUGCUAUAAGGACACUCAAGCCACCCUAUGAAGAAGCCCACAUGAAGAGGAACUGAGAUAUCUGGCCAACAGCCAGCCAGUCACUGAGCCUGCCAACCACGCUGUGGCAGGUACCUCCAGCCCCAGACACCUGCAGCCUCCACUGAAAGCUCAAUGGCAGCCUCAUGAGACCCUGGACCGGAACCACCCAACGAAGCGGCUCCUGUAUUCCUGAUUGACAGAAACUACGGGAUCAUAAAUGCUUGCUGUUCAGUCUGCCAAGUGUUGGCGUGAUUUGUUAAACAGCAACCAGUAACUAAUACGCCACCCAUGGCUGCCGCGUUCCUGCUGUGGGGCCAGCACUAUUCCAUGCUUAGAGGCUCCAUCAAUACCUGUGAUGGACUAAAUGGUCAGUACAAACAACAGCUCCUCUGUAAUGGUAUGAGGCAGACAGGUUUCUAAAGGCAAUAUGCUAAGGUGCAAACUCAACCCCAAAAGACCACAUAGUGUAUCAUCCCAUUUAUAUGAAAUGUCCAGAACAGGCAAAUCCAUAGAGACAGAAAGCAGAUUAGUGGUUGCCAGAGGCUGAGAGAUGGAAGAAAAGUAGAGAGUAACUGCUAAUGGUGUGAAAUCUCUUUUUGGAGUGAUGAAAAUGUUUUAAUUUUUUUUUUUUAAUAGAGACAGGGCAUGAUGGCUCAUGCCUGUAAUCCUAGCACUUUGGGAUGCCAAUGCGGGUGGAUCACCUGAGGUUAAGAGUUCGAGACCAGGCUGGCCAACAUGGUGAAACCCCAUCUCUACUAAAAAUACAUAAAGUAGCCCGGUGUGGUGGUGGGCGCCUGUAAUCCCAGCUACUCGGGAGGCUGAAACAGAAGGAUCACUUGAACCCGGGAGGCAGAGGUUGCAAUGAGCCGAGAUCACGCCACUGCACUUCAGCCUGUGUGACAGGAGUGAAACUCCAUCUCAAAAAUAAAAACGAAAACAAUAACAACAACAGCAACAAAAAACCAUUGCAUUGUGCACAUUAAAUGAAUUGUAUGGUAUGUGAAUUCUAGCUCAAUAAAGCUUCUUAUGCUAAAACAUGACGAGGAAGAAGAGGAGGAGGAGAAGAGGCAAAGUCACUGGUGCCCAAGGAAUGGCACCAGGAGUGGUCUCCAGGAAGGCUGGCCACCUGUAGGGCUGGGAGAGCUCUGUGAUGCUGACAUCAGGGGCCUUCUUCAUGCCUGAGAAACAGGACAUGGGCUAAGGGCGGCUAACCAAGGCCUGGGAGAAUAUUGAGAGGUAAACAGGCGAUGUGGGUGUGGGGCGCUCAGCCUACUUGGCCAAAGGGUGAGUUCUUGCUAAUUUCACAGGGAGAGCCUGACUGGUCUCAAGCACCUGAGGCCCAGCAUGAGAAGUCAACAUCCCUGACUUCUCAUCCUCUAUAGAAAUUUCCCCCAGACCAGGCGCGGUGGCUCACGCCUGUAAUCCCAGCACUUUGGCAGGCCAAGGUGGGCGGAUCACCUGAAGUCAGGAGUUCAAGACCAGCCUGGCCAACACCGUGAAACCCCGUCUCUACUAAAAAUACAAAAAUUA